GUAUUAUAUUAUUUCAUUUAUCCACAUUCCUAACACAUUCAAAGAUUGUGAAAAGCAACAUAGACUCGGAGGGGAAAAAAAAUCCUCCCUCCCAAGUCUACAAUAAGUGCACAGUUGGAGAAAUAAAGAUGACAAGCGUGCACGGAGUCAGCAACAGCCUGUUCAAGUUUAUUCGAUAAUGAUCCUUCCGCAGGUUCACCUACGGAAA
rnacentral:misc_RNA from 1 species